rnacentral:lncRNA from 1 species
UGGAGCAGAGGCUGCGGAGGUGACUAGACAGUACAGCCCGGGGUGGCAGUGCAGGUCUGAGCUGCUCUUCUAACUCCCGAGCCCCUGCUCAUCCCUUACUGCCAAUGGUCCUUUCCUUCUCCUCUGCCCCAUCUGCAAAGGGGGCUCCCACUCCACCCCUCCAAGGACCUGGGCUCCAGCCUUGCACUUCCUGUCGGGAGCUCCCAUCCUCUUUCCCCGAAGGUCAGCAAGCCCACCCACAUCUUCACAUCCUGUGUGCACCUGCCUUCCUGCCACAGUAGAGCGGUGGACACCCCAUUCUGCACCCACCUCUCCUCCCUUCACCAGGCCUUCCAUCCUUGGCCACCCCUUCUCUCCUCCUCCUCAGUUUUUUUCUGGCCAGUCUCCCCGUACCCAUCGGCACACACAUUUGCGCUAGUGUUCCAGGAAAGCCCCUGAAAACAGGCUGAAUAAAUGACCAUUCUUCUAGAAACUAAACUCAAUGCUUUUUUGUUUUUUGUUUGUUUGUUUUNNNNNNNNNNNNNNNNNNNNNNNNNNNNNNNNNNNNNNNNNNNNNNNNNNNNNNNNNNNNNNNNNNNNNNNNCCGCCUCCCAGGUUCAAGUGAGUCUCCUGCCUCAGCCUCCCAAGUAGCUGGGAUUACAGGUGCACACCACCACACCUAGCUAAUUUUUGUAUUUUUAGUAGAGACGGGCAAAGUGACUCGUUUUACUGAGAUGAAAGGAACCCCUUGGAGGGCUCCUGGAAGGGCUCCUGCACUUCCCGAUGCCAGGGCUGCCUGCUGGGCACAGGGCUGUAACCUGCUGCUGUCUCCCAGCCACAGACACCCUGCCUACAGUGGCCUGCAGUGAGCGAGGUGCUGUAAGGGGUGCCCUACCUCUCCUUACAGCUUGUAAGGGAGGCACCAGGCAGGCGCAGUGUGUAUGCUGGUCAUUCUCCUGCAGCCCCGGCGCUGCCACUCACUAGGCUGGAGGCUGGAAAUGUAUCAUUUGCCCAAUCGUAGGCCUCUUUUUCCCAACGGGAAGAAAAAUGAUCCUGACCAUGCAAGGAUUGUGGGGAAAAUCCAACAAGAUGAGGUAGGAAAAAGCACUUAGUUAAACUUAAGUGCAACGCUAAUGUGACUUCUCACUGUUAUCAUUUUUAUCACUAUUAUUUAUGAUUAUUGUCAGUAUAAGGAGUUAAACCACUGUCUACUCAAGCUGAACUGAUUUUUAGCGGCAUUGCUCAGCCAUCAGAAUGAACUCCGGAAAGCUCCAAUGUCUCAGCAGAGGCGGCCAGGGGCAGGGAAAGCACACGUCUCUCUUUCUGAGAGAGGGAUUUGGGUUCGGAUCCCGGUUCUGCCACUGACCAGCUGUGUGGCUCUGGGUGACACCACGUCUCACUCAGUGCUGCUGGAAAGACAGAGCCAGUGCUCAGGAUGAUGCAGCACAGGGCCUAACAGCAGGAGGAGAACCGGUGAUCUGCUGCGACUGCUCCUCCCCAUUCUGCGAGGGAGAAGAUCCCAUCUUACAUAUGAGAAAAUCAAGUCAUGGAGAAGUCAGGCAAAGUCUACUAGGCCACAAGCUCCAUGAACGGUGUGGCAAGGAGCAGACCCAGGCAUGGACCCUACCCUGAACCUUCUUGCCCUCGGUGUCCCCAGGGACAGAGGUCAGUGCAUACCUUGAAGUCAUCCCUGUCCUUGGCCCGGCUCUUGGUGGCCGCAUUCCGUGCGUGCACCAGCAGCGCCUGCCCAAUGGCGCACUCCAUGUGCUGCUGCAGAAGCUGCCCCACCUCCUGGGCCUCGGCCAGGAGCCGCUGCUGGAGCUGCAGCCGCGUCUGUUGCACCUCCUCCUCCAGCCG